AGGUGAAAGGACGGAACCGAUCUGAUCUGGAGAUCGAUGCGGAAAGGUGGAGACGGAUAAAUCGACUGUGAGGGAUUGGGCUGGAGACAGAAGGAAUCGAUCUAGAGGAGCACGAGUUGCGCAUGUGAGAAAAAACUGGCUCGUGAUACCAUGUUAUGGAUGCAACUUGAUUGUAUUGCACAGUCCAUGGGGUAAACAUGUAGUACAAUAGACUCAGGGUACAACGAAGGAAAUUUAGACCUAGACCUAUAUAUACUAAUACUCCUUAACACAUACAACCUUUUCAAUACAUGCCAGGAGUCUAUAACUCAGCAUGAAUGAGGUAGUUGAACACUAUAUAAUGGUAUCUACUCAAUGUCGUACAAGCAAGACUUUUAAGAGACAGAACCUAGUUAGUGAUUGCCCAAAAACCUCCAUCUUUGUAUAUGAAGGUAGCCUCUGUUUCUUGAGAAUAAGCAGCAAGAACAGAAGACAUCAGUGUUUGAUGCAAUUAUGUGCUUUUGUUCAUUUGGGAAACAAUUAACAGAUAUACACGUCAAAAGGAGCACAAGAAAAUUUAGCUGACAUUGACAACAGUACACGAUAUAUCUCCAUUUCUGUAUUACCGAUAAAGCGAUGACCAGUUGUAACAAUACAUCAGUAUAAUUGCUUAAAUUGAUCAAGUUACGAUGUCUUGUACUCCCUC
rnacentral:lncRNA from 1 species